UACGUAGGGGGCAAGCGUUGUCCGGAUUUAUUGGGCGUAAAGCGCUCGCAGGUGGUUCGUCGCGUCGUGCGUGAAAGACCCCGGCUCAACUGGGGAGGGUCGUGCGAUACGGGCGAACUGGAGGCCAGUAGGGGGAUGCGGAAUUCCGGGUGUAGUGGUGGAAUGCGUAGAGAUCCGGAGGAACACCAGCGGCGAAGGCGGCAUCCUGGACUGGGCCUGACACUCAGGAGCGAAAGCGUGGGGAGCGAGCCGG
rnacentral:rRNA from 1 species